CAAGUACUCCCUCCAUCCGGAAUUACUUGUCAUCAAAAUGGAUGUGUCUAGAACUAAAAUACAUCUACAUACAUCCAUUUCAAUGACAAGUAUUUUCGGACGGAGGGAGUACAAG
rnacentral:pre_miRNA from 1 species